rnacentral:rRNA from 1 species
UACAGAGGGUGCAAGCGUUAAUCGGAAUUACUGGGCGUAAAGCGUGCGUAGACGGUUAUGUAAGUCAGAUGUGAAAGCCCCGGGCUCAACCUGGGAAUUGCAUUUGAGACUGCAUAGCUAGGGUGCGGAAGAGGGAAGCGGAAUUUCCGGUGUAGCGGUGAAAUGCGUAGAUAUCUGGAGGAACACCGGUGGCGAAGGCGGCAUCCUGGACCGGCAUUGACGCUGAGGCGCGAAAGCCAGGGGAGCAAACGGG